rnacentral:lncRNA from 1 species
UGGACCUUUAAUUUUUAUGGCAGUUUUUCUCUGUGGGAAACUGAUGUAUCGUUGUCACAGAAAUAAGCAUAGUUAAUGAAUUGAAGAAAUGAAUGUUUUUCUCUUUUUGUUUAUAUAUUGUAAAAUAGCUUCAAAUAACUAACAAUUUUACUCAAGAAAAGACUUGAUCAGCACUACACUGCCACGUGAUUUCUGCUUAGUAUACUAGAUAAAAAAGAACGGAGUUGUUUUUACCAAAAACAGGUGAUCCAGGGAGAGAAAUUGCACCCAGAAUAGGAAAAGGCCAUAAGCUCCCAAUAGAUUUCUAGUCAAUUCAUUCAUCUCUGUAAGUACCCUUUUUAUCUUUUAGAUUAAAGCACACAUUCCAGAGGAUACCAGGAGAGUAUGGGGAGAGGAGAGGAUAUUUUUUGUGAAACCAGGACCAGCCAAAGAGUAGGAGCAUAAUGCCCUCCGUUUUAAUCUGAGACACAUCAGGAUAGCCAGAGUAAUGUAAAGUGCUAUUUCCUACCUUGCUGCUGCUUUUAACUAAACAAUUUGGGAUUGCCCUAAUGAAUUUCAGAGGCUUUCAAAAGAUCCUCUCAUUUUUGCCUGUCAGGAUUUAUAACCUAAUAUGAUACAUCACGUUCAGAACUCAGCAUUCUGUGGCAUUCUGACCUACUUUGUCAAUUAUUUUCACGUCAGAUUUACCCAGGGACAGAAAGAUUACUCUGCUUUCUCCUAAUAAAACCAAAUUAAGUGACAAUGGGUGC